GAUGAACGCUGGCGGCGUGCUUAACACAUGCAAGUCGAACGGUGAAGCAGGAGCUUGCUCCUGUGGAUCAGUGGCGAACGGGUGAGUAACACGUGAGUAACCUGCCCCAGACUCUGGGAUAAGCGUUGGAAACGACGUCUAAUACCGGAUACGAGACGAGAAGGCAUCUUCAUCGUCUGGAAAGUAAUUUCGGUCUGGGA
rnacentral:rRNA from 1 species